rnacentral:rRNA from 1 species
AUACGGAGGAUCCGAGCGUUAUCCGGAUUUAUUGGGUUUAAAGGGUGCGCAGGCGGCCAUUUAAGUCAGCGGUUAAAUCGUGGGGCUCAACCCCAUUCUGCCGUUGUUACUGGGUGGCUUGAUUGCGGUCGAGGUUGGCGGAAGUCGUUGUGUUGCGGGGAAAUGCAUAGAUAUGACGAAGAACACCGAUUGCGUAGGCAGCUGACCAGACCGCAAAUGACGCUCAUGCACGAAAGUGCGGGGAUCGAACAGGAUUAGAUACCCUGGUAGUCCGCACAGUAAACGAUGAAUACUUGUUUUCGGCGAUAUAAUGUCGGAGGCAAAGCGAAAGCGAUAAGUAUUCCACCUGGGGAGUACGCCGGCAACGGUGAAACUCAAAUGAAUCGGCGGGG